rnacentral:rRNA from 1 species
GCCCAGCCGUAAACUUUUAUUUACACUCUUUUCGCCUGGGAACUACGAGCAAAGCUUAAAACCCAAAGGACUUGACGGUGCCCCAUAUCCACCUAGAGGAGCCUGUCCUAUAAUCGAUAAUCCACGUUUAACCUCACCACUUCUAGUUUACCAGCCUGUAUACCUCCGUCGUCAGCUUACCACGUGAGCGUUAGUUAGUGAGCUUAAUGCUAUUUCACCAAUACGUCAGGUCAAGGUGCAGCAAAUGAAGAGGAAAGAGAUGGGCUACACUUUCUACUUUAGAAUAAACGAAAAACUACUAUGAAACCUAGUUAGAAGGCGG